rnacentral:lncRNA from 1 species
GUAGCUCCGCUAGCUCUCAAACUCGAGGGCUAAGCGCCAAUAACUACUCGACGUGGCUCCUACGGCUCACCUGGCGCAUAAGCUCGGGGGCUGGAUGUCGCAAAACUACUCAGAUAAUGACUUGUUUGAAGACUAAAGACUCUUGGAUUGAUUAAUUAAUCAUUCCAAGACUCGGGGGCUGAUAAGCUACACCCAACAGUUGAUUUUUUUCAAGAUGAAAUAAGAAGAUUCAAG